GCCUGGGUGGCUCAGUCGGUUGAGCGUCCGACUUCAGCCCGGGUCACGAUCUCGCGGUCCGUGAGUUCAAGCCCCACGUCGGGCU
rnacentral:tRNA from 1 species